GAAACAAAUCACUCUUGUUGAUAAUGAUGGUGUCAAGUUAAAGUUUCUCUUGUGGGGAGAGCAGGUUCUCCUUGCGAAUCUUUUCAGUGUAGGAAGUAUGCUUGCACUGGAUAGACCUUUCAUUGCAAAUGUUAUAGACAGUAAUAUGCAAACAAAUGCUGAAAUCUGUCUUGAAUAUGGUAGUGCCACGCAGUUAUAUUUGGUCCCCUUUAUUCAACAUGAAGAGCAGGUACUUGUAGCAUCCACACCAAAUUGGUGUCAAGGAUCAAGGCUGUUGAAUGGAUUGAGUCAAAGUCAGGGUCCUAAAGUUUCUCAAGUGGCAUUGCCCUGCUGAAGGUUCUAUUGACUUCAGUAAUUAUCCUUUCAGAUCAUUUAUUGUUGAUCUUCGUGACAAGAUGACUGGAAUCAACCUUUAUGGUGCUGUAACAAACAUCUUAAGAGAAGGCAAUACUGAAGAAGCUAUAUUUUCUCUAACAAUUGAAGAUACAACAGGAGCAAUUGUGGCAAAGCUACACUUUGUUAGAUCUUGGUAAUGACAAACGAUCACUUCUUAAGUAUUGCUUAAGAAGACAAUGUAGUAUUUGUGAAGACAAUGUAGUAUUUGUGACUGCAA